GGAUAAAUCUUUCUCCCUAGGCCCAAAUGUCCUCUGUGACUCAGAAGUGCCCUUUACCAGCGUUGUCUGGUUUGACAGCUGUGACUGUUCCUGGACUUGGAUAGGCUGACCACUAUAGUCCAUGCACUGGUAACCUUGAGGCUGGAUUACUGUAAUGCGCUCUACAUAGGGUUGCCCUUGUGUUUGGUUCACAAGCUCCAGCUGGUGCAAAAUGCAGUGGCCAAAGUGCUGGUGGGGGCGUCUGGUUGAACCAAGGUCCAGAGCAGAAACAAGCGUAUCAUUGAUUUCCUCAGCUGGCAAAGCUUAUUUGAUAACAAAAAGGAACCAAGGCUUCAGAAUUGUUUUCUCCUUGCCAGUCCUGGGUAAGGGAAGGGUAAUGAUGGCAAUGCACCAUGUGGAGAUGGGGAAGAAAAGGAGGCAAGAGUAGAAGUGGUAUAGCUAUAAGAAAGUUUCGCAACCCUUUAGAAAAUUUGUUGCCACAGCUUCAGCAAUACACAUGCUGAAUUGACCUGGGCAGGUAUUUUAAAAGAAUGUUGUUGUGUUACUGUGCUGUCUUAAACACAGAAUAUUUUUUCUGUCUAAUGAAGAUUAGUUAGAUUUCAGAGGUAUGGCUUGUAACACACUGCAUAUUCAGAAUAUGCUGGAUUUUCUUGCUAAACUCUUAUAAUGAAGAUUGAAGGGGAACUGUACCGCACUGUACAGCUAGCUAACUUGGCAGUUAUAAUGAAGUGGUUUGUAUUACUAUGUUUUGAAUGACACAAAUCUAUUUACAAGGUAAAAACUGCAAAUAUGUUGUAUAGGAUUAUGCUGCUGAAAUGUAGUACAAACUGCACUGCAGCUUACUAUUCUAGUGGCACAGCAAUAAAAUUAAUAGCAUAUUUGCAAAGCUAAGCAGGUGCUGGUAUGGGUUCAAAUUGGAUGGGGGACCACAUGUUGAGAUUCCUUCUUUUCAGGGGGUUAGACUAGAUGACCCUCAGGAUCACUUCCACCUCUACAGAAAUAAGGACCCUGUGGCCCUCCAGAGGUUUGCUGAACUGAUAACCCACAUCAGCCUCAGCCUCAGCCAGCAUGGUCAUCCCAAUGUUCAGGGAUGAUGGGAAUUGUAGUCCAAUGAUAUCUGGAGUGCUACAGGUUCUCCAUCCUUCAUUUAGUUAGCAUUCUGUAUUAUAGAGAGCAUAGGCACGCUACAGUGAUUUUUACUGAGUGCCAAAGAACACAUUUCUUAGGUUUCUGUGGCCACAGGAGAGAGAGGCAGAUACAAGAGACAAAGACAUAUAUGGAUACAGUUUGAAUGAUUCUAUUAUAAUUCACAUGCCGGGAGGGAAGAGUGAAUUCUGAUUUAUGACCGUUUCCUGUCUUAUGUCCUUUUACAGUUGCUUUAGUCAGCAGAUUCCUCGAUGUGGGGAGUACACAGUGGUGUGUGGGUGUGGGUGUGUGAGAGAGAGACAAGAGGGAAAUUGCUGGUGCCACACACCAUCUCCCUGCUUAGGGGUUGGGGUUUUUUUUCAAGAGCUCUAGUUCAAAUCAAGGUACAUUUUGAUGAUCUCUUUCAUGUGUGAUAAAGUCUAAGGCUGGCACCAGUACGGUGCUAAUUUAACAAGAGGGAAAUCGUUGGUGCCACAAUGAUAUAAAAUUGUAUUAAUGCAAUGAACUAAACUUACUUGUCAUUUGAGUAGCACCAAACACAUCACUUUUGUCAGGUGUUGCAAUUGGAAAUCAUAGUGAUAUAACUGUUGCAGCCAUGCUGGUAUUGGCCUGAAAUAUUUUGUAGAGCUUUGUCGAAAGAAAAGUGGGGUGCUCAGGAGAGCUCUGUAGAGAAAGUGGGGUGCUCAGGAGAGUCUCUUGUGGCCCCUUCCUUGCCCCACUGCUGCACAAUUGCUUUAUUUUCCAGUAGUUUCUGCCACUACUCUCUUUUGUCGCUCACUUGCAGCCCCAGAAAAGCAGAAAACUGGGGCUGUCCAAUUAAUGAUUCAACUUGGGAAUCCUUGACCAGUGUCCUUUGAGCCUCCAGCCAAUCUCUCUUAAUUUAUGCAAAACAUAAAGCCAGCUCUCCAGCCUUCUGCCUCUCCCCAUGAAUAGAGCAAAUAUCUGACUUUACCAGCUCUAGUCUUAGACUGCUAAUAGGAUGAAACCCAAAGUGAGGAAGGCACAUGAGGAUUCCCAAAUCCUGAGAUUGGCAAUUGCACAUAGACUCCACUAGUCCAGUUGUGAAACUUUAUUAAGAAUAUUGGCAAGAGAGCAAUAAGGUCC